UACAGAGGGGGCUAGCGUUGCUCGGAAUCACUGGGCGUAAAGGGUGCGUAGGCGGGUCUUUAAGUCAGGGGUGAAAUCCUGGAGCUCAACUCCAGAACUGCCUUUGAUACUGUAGAUCUUGAGUUCGGGAGAGGUGAGUGGAACUGCGAGUGUAGAGGUGAAAUUCGUAGAUAUUCGCAAGAACACCAGUGGCGGAGGCGGCUCCCUGGCCCGAUACUGACGCUGAGGCGCGAAAGCCAGGGGAGCAAACGGG
rnacentral:rRNA from 1 species